rnacentral:rRNA from 1 species
AGUGAACGCUGGCGGUAGGCCUAACACAUGCAAGUCGAACGGCAGCACAGUAAGAGCUUGCUCUUACGGGUGGCGAGUGGCGGACGGGUGAGGAAUACAUCGGAAUCUACUUUUUCGUGGGGGAUAACGUAGGGAAACUUACGCUAAUACCGCAUACUACCUACGGGUGAAAGCAGGGGAUCUUCGGACCUUGCGUGAUUGAAUGAGCCGAUGUCGGAUUAGCUAGUUGGCGGGGUAAAGGCCCACCAAGGCGACGAUCCGUAGCUGGUCUGAGAGGAUGAUCAGCCACACUGGAACUGAGACACGGUCCAGACUCCUACGGGAGGCAGCAGUGGGGAAUAUUGGACAAUGGGCGCAAGCCUGAUCCAGCCAUACCGCGUGGGUGAAGAAGGCCUUCGGGUUGUAAAGCCCUUUUGUUGGGAAAGAAAAGCAGCAGGUUAAUACCCCGCUGCUCUGACGGUACCCAAAGAAUAAGCACCGGCUAACUUCGUG